rnacentral:sRNA from 1 species
AUAUUGUAUGUUGAGCGCAGGUGAGAAGCUGCGUUCAGGUUCGAGCCUCGCGAAGCGAGACAGCGUUGCGCUUGCCGCAACGACCCGAAGGGCGAGGGCAAAGCCCGAAUCAUCCUGCACGACCCACCA